UGGAAAUGAGCUCGUGCAAUCAAACACAUCCCCUCGGACAAGUCUGCGGCACAGGCAGCUCUCGGGGAGUCUGCACCAGCCUCUUUCACAACACCAUCCAUACAGCUACAUGACAGAGCAGGCAAACACCUCCAGCCAGCACGGGCUUUUGGUACAGGCACACAGAAAUCCACCCCAGGAAUUCUGCAGCAUUUCAAGGUCAGUCUCGGUGGCAAGGGCAAGAGAUUUCUGCAGCAAAGGCUCGUCAGUGCUGCGGUAGUAGCGCGGUGCCAUCUGCAGCCCCGCACCCCCAGUCCCCUGUCAGCUGCUGCCGAGCCGGAGGAGCCAGGGAUUUCGUAAUUCCACGGUCACACACGCGCUGCCCGAUCUAUUUAAUCCUCUCCCUGCGCUGUGCUACUGAAGCAGUGACAAAACAACCCAAACGCACGGAGCUCGAUGUGAAACGUCAGGAGAGCUGGCAGCAGAGGUGAGCCUGGCAACAUUCAAAAAUCUCUUAACUGGCCACAACACAAGCAUGAAGUGCAGAAGUAUAAGCAAGGGGGAGUGGAAGCCUUGCAGCUUCACAGACUGCAGCAUCAACAACCAGCAAUUGAGAGAAGAGAUACAUCAUUAAACUUAUUUAUAGCAUUAACUACUUUGCAUUCAUCCACACAAGUGAAACUGUAAAAAGAAGAAAAAAUUAUAAAGGCAGUGUGUGGUUCUUUCAUUAGCUUGUCUGUAAUGUUGGAUUGGUCCAUAAAUUAAUGUGUAAAAAAGGAUGGGGAAAAAAAAGAAUUCAAAGCUUUGCCAUUGUAAUUAUAGCUCUUUAAAUAUCAAAAGACACAAAGAAAGAUUUCUUUUGAAAAGAGUACCGAUUCUCUUGGCAAGCCACUAUUAAAUACUUGCAUAAAUCUACGGUCUGUUUCCUGCAAGUUGAGGUGACAUUGCUAUCAUGGCUUAUAGGUCUCUUCACAUGACUAUUGGUGCACUUCAGUAUUAUUUAUAUUUAUAUAUAUACAUUAUCAGGACACUGAUGAGAUAAGAUACCUUCUUUCUGUCAUGAGUGAAGGGCUAGUAAGUAGCAACCGAGAAACCUUGCAAGUAAAAGGGCCUUGAUGAAAGAUUACCUAAUUGAUUUGGGCUGUUCCAGACACAAACUCUGGAAGUCUCUUUGGUACAACUCAGACAUGCAGGUGCAGUUUCAUCACAGGUUUACCAGU